rnacentral:lncRNA from 1 species
GAAAAUGUUACAAAAAGAAAAAGACAAAUUGCUGAACUCUUACCAGAAAAACAAGCAUAUUAUACUUGGUCAAAUAACGAUGAAAAGCUCAUUUUGGAGUUUCAAAAAUACUUUAUUGAAAACAAAAUGUCAAGGUAAAAAAGAAAUCCUUGAUUUUAUGGAAGAAUAUGACCUAAAUGUUCUUUAUACAACUGCACGGACAAAAAUUACAAACGAAAGACUUAAAUUUCAACGGAACAAACUAAAUGUUGUUAAAGAACUUAACAUCACCAUUACAAAAGAAUAACACGAGUGGCCCAUGUGUUUCCCUUUAAUGUUUUUGUUAUAGUAUA